UCGUUUUCAGUGGAAGUUCUUGCUUCGGUUGGGGAAGACGUUUUUUUUUCCGAUUUUCCGAUUUUCGGAGAGUAAUGUGGGUGUAUUCCGCGGCGCGGAUGUGAAAGUUUCUUGUGUAAACUACUAUUUAUUGGAAAUAAAAAGAAUGGUUUAAGACAAAAGCACUUGCAAUUUGUAGUUAAUUGCUGAAGCGUAACGGCGAAUACCGAGCGCAUCCAUUGUUCGUGUGUGCCAAAUCUACAGCAACAUAAGCUAUCAAUCAGUCAGUCAUACGUAUAGUCAGACAGUCAUUGAAUCACACAUGCACUUGCGAAUCAAUUACACGGUAUACCUACAAAAACAACAAUAACAACAACAACAACAUACAUACAAAUGUAGCAAAUCAAGAGCAUCGGAAAAAGUCGUAUUGAAAAUUUGCAUUUGCUCAUUGUAGUGAAAAAUCAAAAACAAUAAUAACAAUAACAACAACCAACCGAAACAAAACACCAAAGGAUUCAUGUUUUAAAUGCUUAGCAAAUAAAGUGAUUGCUUUACACUUUCUCCCGCUGAAAUUGCAACAAACAUACGAAGAUCAUAAAAUGCACCAAAAAACAAUAAAAACACUGAAAACUACAAAUGCAAAAGCUGUGAAAAUGCCAAUGACAGCCGGCAAUCGCACAGUGCAGCGCCAUACAAGUGAUCAUACACGUUGCCAUAUCUCGGGCUGGAGUGCGCUUUUUGUGCUCUUGGCCUUGAGCACUUGGGCCAGCCAGACGCAAGCGUUCGAUUUGGGCAACGAGUUGAAUCUCAAGCCGACAAACUACGCGGAAUGGAAUAAAAAUGUCACGUACGUCAGUUCAACCGCCUAUAAUGCGCGUGGCAUGCAGCCACUUUACGAAAUCACACAUAAAAUUAUUUGGUUCUUCACCGGUGAACAUCCACUGCCAGAAGGUUACCUCGUAGUCAAGGAAAACGAUAUAGAAUUCGGUCCGAAAGUCGAACGCAAUGAAUGGAUUGAUUUAGUCAAACAUUAUUGGUUAAUAUGGCUAAUUGUCUUGCUCGUUGGCCUACUAAUUGUUACAAUGCCAGUUGUUGGUUUAUGCUUUUGCUGUUGUCGCUGCGCUGGUGCUUGUGGCGGACGCUCGGAGCCGUUUGACAAGAAACACGACACCUGUCGCCGUGUGUUCUUGGGAUUCUUGCUUAUAGUAUUGGCAACAGGUUUGCUUUUCGGUGUUAUAGUCACAUUCGCAACGAACAGUUAUAUGCAACAGGGUAUUGAGAACAGCACAAAUCGUGUACGUGAUGCCAGCGUUGACACGCGCAAAUUUCUGGAAUCCACAUCGGAACAGGUCGAUCACGUGCUCAUCACGAACUACAAACAAUUGUCAAUUCAGCUGGACAAUAUUAUGCGCGAAACAUCGAGUUUCAUCAUAAAAGAGUUGGAGCAGAAAUCAAUGGCUGUUUCGCUCAUCUAUCUAACAGACUUUCUUGAAAAACUGCCAGAGCUUAGACUAAAAUUACAGAAGAUGAAGAGCAUCACCAACGAUUUGCGCGUUUACGCUUCACAGUUAAGCGAUGGCUUGCGUGGCGUAAAGCGUGAUUUGUUGGUUAUGUUGACCAAAUGCAACAACAAAGCAUGUCAGGAUGUGCUCAACAAGUAUGAGAUCGGAAAGCUUGAUGCUAACGGUAUACACUACGAUCAGAUGGUAGACCGCUACUUUCCGAAGCUUCCGGAUGUAACAGAAAUCAUCGACAAUUUGGAUAACCUGAUAAGUAAGGACAUAGCCUCGGCUGGCAAGCGUGGACGUGAUAUACUGAAUCAAAUGCGCGUACAUCUCAAUACAACAAUUGCAAAAUAUACGCCAAAAAUAAUUGAUUCCAUAAAUAAAGCAGGUCAUGCUUUCCAACACGCCUCAAACGAAAUCAAAUUAGAGCUUAACAAACUUUCUCAAGUUAUUAAAGACAAUACUAAAAAGUACACCGGUGUUGCCGAUGACUAUUUGGAGGAAUAUGGACCAUAUCGCUUUUACUUUGGCAUCGCUGUGUGCUCAAUAUUGUUACUGAUUUUGCUUUGCGUGGUGGCUGCUUUGUUGUGCGGCAUUUGUGGCAAACGGCCGGACGGUUAUGGCGAUGACUGCUGCAAUAAGGGCUCGGGCUCACGUUUCUUGAUGAUGGCUGUAGCGCUGAUUUUCCUCUUUAUGUCUUUGAUUGCUUUGGUAACACUGGUGCACUUUUUGAUCGGUCUUAUCGCCUAUCGCGGCGUAUGUCUUCCAUUAAAGGACCCUCAAAAUGACGAAAUAUUCGCACAAUUCGACAAUUCGAUCGACUUAAAUAAUGUGCUUUAUCCACCGCAACACAAAGGCAAACCAACCUCGGGUGGUUUACCACCACUGCGCAUUUCACACGUGAUCACCGCCUGCCAACGCAAUCAAACGAUCUACGAAGUGUUGCAUAUACAUAAUCGCAUUGACAUUCACGAAAUUAACGACUAUCCAGCACAAUAUAAAAUCAAUCAGACACUAGAUGAUCUGGUAGAUGGCAUAUCAUUUGACGACAGCGAUAUCGAGAUUUUAAGUGCGGAGGAUAAGCAACGCAUACUCAAUCUGGCCGAUUCCGCAUUGAAGAAUUUCGACUCCGCCCAAUAUAUAGACAAUCUGAACGACACCAUCACCAAACAUUCGUUAACAGAAAUUGCUCAAGAAUUGCGUCAGACCGCGAAGAAAAUCGACAAAAGUGAGGAUAUGAAAGAUGUGCAGGUUAGUCUGCGCAAUCAGGCAUUGCAUUUGGAGACCUACGAACAAAACUGGGUAAUACCAAUGAAGAAUCAAUCGGUGGAACUUAUACGGCUGGCCAAUGAUUUAGAUCAUAGUUUGCGCUAUAAGGAUCGUCCAUUCCACGAAUCCAUACCGUUGUUGGUCAGUGAGAUUGAGCGUGCGCAGUUAUUCUUCCGCGUGGACGGACGACAAUUCGUUAAGAAUACCGCUGUAAAUUUGACGCACUAUUUUGCCAGCGAAAUAGAGAACUACUUGAGAAUGGUUGUGGUGGCAGUGGAGAAGAAAAUUGGCUUGUGUGCGCCGCUAGCGAAUGUCUAUGACUCUGGUGUGGUGGGAUUGUGUAGUGCUAUUGUAGAUCCAUUGAAUGGAUUCUGGUCUGGUGCCGCUUUGUGUGUUGUACUCUUUCUGCCAACGCUGCUGGUGGCAGUCAAAUUGGCUAGUUUAUAUCAGAAGUCUGACCCAUAUCCCGGUCCACUAGUGGAAUCGGAGUAUUUGUAUGACGCAUAUAGUGAACGUGAUCAUAUUCCAUUGGCAAAUGGGCCAAAGAACAAGCGCCGAAAGAACAAAGACCGUAGACGCGGUCGUGAAUACUACGAGGAUCCAGUCGCUUCCACGACGCACGGCGUGCCACCAACUGUCGGUGUGCGUGACACGCGUUACAGCGACAUGGCACCCAAAGCUAAGUGUAUUGUUGGCUCUGUUGAUACGAGGCCAAGAUCAUUGAUGGGCGAUGGUUUCUAUUAGGUUCUAUAACACUGACGUUGGUGAUGAUUUUCGAUGAUGAUGUUAUAGUGGCAUUGGGAUGGCGGCCCACCGAGAUACCAGAAUCCACCAAUGGCACCACCUGCCUCCGAGUACGAACGCCCACCGCCAUAUUACUAUCCGGGUGCCACGGAGCAAGACUAAGUAAUACAGAUUGAGAUACAUUUUUAAAAUGUCGCCAACAAACAAGUAAAGCAAGCAAGCAGCACCAACAACAACAACAAAAACAACAUAAACAUAAGCAACAAAUGCAAUAACAACAAAAGCAGUGAGCAGAGACAAAUUGAACACUUGUGAAAUGCUUGUGCCGUUGCAGCGGAGGCGAGAGACGACUCCCAGCAACAAUAACAAAACAUAAUAAUGUGGCAUGAGGUGCACAUUGCGUGCGUCCAAAAGUUAUUAAUAGCGUAUUUUCUAAAACGCAUUUGUUUUUGAUUUUGCUACUUUGAAAAACUUGUGGAAUUCAAAUUGAUUGCGGCAGCCGCGGCACACUUGCCCACAACACAACAGUUUUUCUACUCUCGAAAACUAUAAACAAACAAUCAAAAACGAAGCAUAUUUUAGCGAAUAAUACAAAAAAAGAACAUUAAAGAACUUACAAAAAGCAAGUGAAAACAAUUUCUUGAUUGCACAUAAAAAUACUGUUGGUUUCAAAAACCGAAAAGCGUGUGGAAAAGUUAUAGCUACAUAAAUAUAUAAAACAAAAAAGAGAACAUAGGAGAAAAAACGAAAAUAAAACACAGCCAUUAUGCAUUUUCAUUCCAGCGCCCCCGACACACAUACACACAUAUGUAGUAGAUACUCGAAAAUAGUUUCGAUAAUCUCAAGUAUUUUAGUUAGUUUUAUAUUGAAGUGUUAUUCAAAAAUAUAUAUGUGUAUGUAUUGUAUAUGUGAAAUGAGACUGUAUUUGUUAGAUUUUGUAAACACUUUUAAUGAGUUGAUGAGUUCAUGUCUCAUUAGCUACAUAUAAUAUAUAUAUUUACCUAGGUACUCAGAGACACACACACACAACAUUAUUUUUAAACAUGCCACGAUUCGUGUAUUUCAAUUUUAGUAAUAUAAUGAAAAUAAUAAUAAAUAAUACCAUUAAUAUUGAAUUCAUAAAUUUUAUUAUAAGCAUUUAUAUAAACUGUAUGUGUACACCAUUCAAUUAAUUGCAAGUGUGUUAGAUUUUAAAUAUAUAUUAAAUUUAUGUAUACAUAAAUGUACAAGCAAAGGAGAAAAAACAAAUAAUAACAAUUUGAAUUGUGAAAUGAACCAUUUAUAAUGAAAUGAACGAAUUUUUUAAUUAUUACAACCAAAUGUUUUUUAUAUUUACAAAAUAAAUGAAAACGCUGUAGACGACACAUCGACGUUGCAAGCACAUCAUUUUUUACAUUAAGUUUAAAAAUGCGGUUUUCUUUAUUUUCUUAGCAAUUUUGAUGCGCAACGUUGCUUUUUGCAAUAAUAAAUGUCACAAAAGUUGUAAUUUGUUAAUUAUGCAGCCGGCAAACGCAUAUUUCGGUGGAGUUUGCUGCAGCCCACAAGCAAAGAAGCAAUAUGUUGGCAUGCGUAGCAAAUAAUUGUAGAAUUUCGAGGAAUAAUUUUGCAUUUAAAAGUGAGUUAAGGUGUUAUAAAGCAUGCUGCAGCAUAAUAUAAUAACAAUAGCAGCUAAAAUUCGAAACAGUUGCGAAACUGCAGGAAUUAUAAAAGACAUUUCUAAGACUGUGUUCACACGAGCACUCUUUUGUCGCUCAUUAUCGGCCAAAUCGCUUUUGAAAUCGUCAUAUGCGCAAAAUAAAUCCGACGACUUGAGUCGAACAAUUUUUUGCAUUUUCUUCCAUAUCACAUGCCCAAAUUCUGGUACGCGGUGCUCACAAAUAUUGUUGGUUAACUAAUUUUUAUCCUUACUCACUCUUUUAUAGAACAUUUUUAUUGUGUUAUGCAUAUUUACAUACAUAUUUGCAUAUUACAUAUAAAAAUAGAUGUUAAAAUUAAAAUUUUCGAAGAUAAUGCAAAUAUUCAUUUGGAACCGAGCGUUAUUGCAACCUUGAAUUUUUAAAUGAAAAGGUGUGACGAAUUGCGUAGUAAAGUGUGCCACACGAUCACGAGCGACAUGGUUGCUUCGUCUCUCCUCGCCUACAAAAACCGUUUUGGGCGACAAAAGAUGCCUCGUGUGAACAUAGUCCAAGCUGCUUCGACUCAACUGUGUAUUUAGAUAAUACAGCGGCGAGCAUAUUAUUAUAUACGCCUAAAGUAUUUUGCAUUUUUAGUCUAUGGAGAGAGAGGGACAGAUAGAUAGAGAACGAGUUAAAGAGAGGGCAGGAAAAAAUGUGCAGGAAAUUGGAGUUUUUCAAUUAGCAAAUAUUUAAUAAUAAUUAAUAAAAUUAAAAAGUAAAAAAAAAAUUAAAAAGAAAGCAGUCGUAAAUUUUAAGGGUGAUAUUUAUAAGCAAAAACAAUAAACGGAAAGCAAAAAAAAAUUAGACGAAAAUAUUAGAAAUACGUAGUAGAAUGGGAAGCUAGCUUGUAUGUUUAUAUCUGAGUGCAAAUAAAAAAAAAUUCGUUCAGAAGCAAUGUAUACAAUUUUAACUUUGAAGUUUAGAGGUUAUUUUCGAACAGCUGCUUAACUUCGACUAAAAGUUUGCUGAAUUUAUUUAAAAUGCAAUUUGAAAUUUUUUAACCAUUCCAUACAAAAAGUACUUGAGAAUUAGAAAAAAAUAAAAUUAAUAUUAAUUCAACUUUCAAAUACUCAUCAGACAAUACAAGAUUUUAAUUUUUUUCUUAAAAUUUCCAAAAACUUUUAAAAUUUCACGGAUUAUGUUAGUUGGUCUUUUGGAUCUUCAAACACAUUUUCUUCAAAUUAAAUGUAAAUUGUUUUUUAAAUCUUCAAAAACAUUUUUUCAAAACUUUUAGGUUAAAAAUAAUAAAUCAUCAUAUUUUUUUUUAAACAAGAUGUGUAAAUUCUUUUUUAAGUCUUCACAAAAGUAUUUUCAAAACUUUUUGGUUAAAAAAAAAUAAUAGUGAGCUGCAGUCAAAAGUCUAAUUGCAAACAGCUGUUUCAAAUCAGCAGAUUUUUCUUUAAUAAUCUUCAAAAAAUUAUGUGCUUAGAGUAAAAAUAUAUCAGUGGAAACUUAAAGGUUGUUUUCGUGGGUUAAAACAUAGCGUUUGGCUUUAAAAACGAGUGAGCAUGCUAAGUAGUUACGAAGAAGUAUUUUUUUUUUUUAAAUUUUAAAUAAAUAAUUUUCACUUUUUGUGUUUUGCAUGAAAUUGCUCAAGUAGUAAAUACAAAAAUGCAGGUGCUUUUUCAAAUGACUGCCGUGUUUAUUUUUUGUCCGCCAUUUAACACAAUAUAAAAACCUUAGAAAUACAAACUAAUUAAACAAAAUUUAAGGUUAUAAAAAAUUCCGAAAAAAGAAUAAAUGAAUAUUAUAAAAAUUUCAAAUAAAAUGCUGCAACAAAAAGCAUUAAAAUAUUAAACAAAAGUACCGUAACGAGUUAAUUGAAAGCAGUAAUAUACAGUAAGCAUUUAAGGAGCAUGUUGGAAGGUUUUAAACUGCCAUUUAAAAUUAAACAAAAAAAUAUUAUAAUACUUGAAUAAUAACUAAAAUAGAUUUUGUCCAAGAAAAGUUGUAACAAAAUAAAAAAAAAAAAUUAUAUAAUAAUGAACACGAACCCAUGCGAAAAAUGCAUUUUAAAUAACGCAACUGUUGUAUGUUAUCAAUAUGAUUAUCUAUUAUUAAACACACUUGCGGUAUAUAUUUACAAACUAUACGCUAUGUAUGUUAAGCUAAACUAAAAAUGAAUAAAAAGGUAAUAAAUAAUAAAAAUUGAAGAAAAAUUAAACAAAGAAAAAACAAAAAUGUUUACAGUGUCAAUAUUAACUUUGUUUUCUAGUUCAAAAGACACACAAAAAUUGGUAUGCUCACAUGAAAUAUAUACUUAUGAAUGUUCUAUUGUCAUAAUUAAAUGAAAAGACAAGCAAAAAGUUUAUUAUACUUGCUAUAAAAUAUAUAUAUACAACUUUAUUGAGAUUAUUAUAGGAAACAUGGCAAGUGUCCCGUUACUUGUUGUGCGCAUUUAAUUUUCACUUAAACUUAAGUAAACCUGUCUGUCUGCAACGUACCGAUUUCAAGUGACUGGAUUUGAUUUGAACUUGUCUUUUUUAUAAUAAAAAUAUUGUAGAAGAAAUAUUUUAUAGCGUGCUAUAAAAAAUGAAAAAAAAUUAUAUUACUAUUAUACACAAUAUAAAUUUAAAUAUAAAAAUAAAAAUAAUAAUAUUUUCUCCCCUUCAUUUUGCUUUCUCUUCAAUAACACAUUUUACUUGUGACACCUGCUCGUAUAUUUGUAAGUGUGUGUCCACGAAGAAGUUGAAAUUAAAUGAAUUACACAUACGAAAGCAAAUCUAGUAUAAAAAGUUUUGUCAUUACAAACUCAUACUCACUUAAAUACAAACUUAGCUACUUGAAAUCACUCAAAAACUCUAAUGCAAAUCAUUUGAAAACAUAAACUAUGCACUUUUAGAUAAAAAAAAUGAUAAGAAUGUAAACAUAAAUGUGUGGUGAACGGCUGGUGACAUAAAGACAUAAACAGUAUUUGCAAAUGUCUCAUAAUUGUUGCAACAAAUAGAAUUUGCAAUGCAAAAACAAAAAACGAAAAAGAAA